GGGGCUGAGAAACAACGUCACAGUGAGACAAAGUGCGCGCUCUUUCUCUCAGCACUCCGAAGAUGCUACUUGGAUCUGGCUGUAUUUUAAGUUCAUUUACAAGUAGACUAAUUCUCAACUAAAAAUAACCACAUGUGUUAUACAUCCCCACAGCUGCCUGGAUUUUCCUCUGAGGGAAGCAAGAUUCUGUGUUCACUCAUGUUCAGCUCAGAUCUAUUUUAACCCAUUCAGUGAAGAAGCUGCCACACCAUGUGCUGGUGGGCACGACUCCGAGGAGCUCUCUGCUCCUGGAACAACCUUGAUAGUACCCCCAUCCUGCAGCUGAGCUGAACACCAGGAGCAGCAGCCUGCCCGGUUAUGUGCGGAGAUAAAAGCAGGGCGGGCCAGCUUUCCUGGUUCCUGACUUGCUUGUUUUUUAACAAAAACUGUUAUCAGUAUCAAGACAUUGGAGUUUUGCCUUCAUUUCUCUGAUGAUUUAAAUCUGGUGUGGAAAGAAAGCAUGCGCUGGUAACAUUAAAACCAUUUUGUUCUGAAAUGAAGUUAUUACCUAUACGGCUGUCCUCGAACUCGUCGUGUACACAAGGUCCAGCGAUGUCCUUAAACUUCUCAUCUCCCUACCUCCAUCCACAUGCGCCAACUGCCAGGCUGCUACAAUUCUGAGGGCCCAACCCAGAGCCUGGUGCUGCCCCACCGCGUCCCAAGCGCCUAGCCCCUCAGUCUGCUUCCAUCCGUGGCUAAGGACAGCACACUUCCUCUCAGAGUUUGAAAGGCCACACUGGACUUUGCUGCCCUGACCCUAGAGUGACAUUUCCGUUUGGUGACGGGUUUGCAGCACUGUUGGGCAGUAAGUGUGCUGCUGAUUCUUCGUUAUCAAUGUGACCCAACUUGGGAGUCGCCUGGAAAGAGGACACUCCAGUGAAGAACUGUCUGUGGAGCACUGUCCUGAUCAACGUGGGAGCACCCAGCUCCCAGGGCAGCGCCCUCCACAGGCAGGUGGGCCUGCCUUGGAUAACAAAGUUAGCUGAGCAGGUGCCCCAGGCCCUGCUGAGGCCCUGCCCUGACUUUCCUUCAGGAUGGACUGUUUGUUGUUCCCUGAAAGUACAUGGUGAAGUAACCCUUUCCUCCCCAGGCUCCUUUUGGUCAUAGUCUUUAUCACAAAACCAAACCCAAACCAGAACAAUAUUUAUGAUCCUAGCAAUCAAGAUGUAGAGACAGUAUGGUUGGCAAAGGUUCAAAGCCAGCCAGAACCGAGUAAGACGUCUCAAAAACAAAACCCCUGGGAAAGAAGGGCUGGGGCAGAGCUCAGCCUGGCACUGCCUGCUUUACAAGUAGAAGACCCCGGUGGAUCCCCAGCAUAAAGGAGCUAGAGACAGAAAGGAAAGCAGCAAGGCCGCAGGCCAGGUGGUCCUUUGGAUCACGUGUUCUAUUCUAUCACUGCCAUGUUCCUUUUCUUAAGCACAUUUAACUGUCUACAAGAAUAACUUCUUCCAGGGCAUGCAUCUGUGUGUGUAUAUAUCCUGGAGCCACUGCAUUCCUGGCAGAGACAACACCCCCCCCCAUGUUUGCUUGGCAUACCAGUGAAGGAAUACCUUUAAG